rnacentral:rRNA from 2 species
ACGCAAGUCUGAUGGAGCAACGCCGCGUGAGUGAAGAAGGUCUUCGGAUCGUAAAACCCUGUUGUUAGAGAAGAACACGAGUGAGAGUAACUGUUCAUUCGAUGACGGUAUCUAACCAGCAAGUCACGGCUAACUACGUGCCAGCAGCCGCGGUAAUACGUAGGUGGCAAGCGUUGUCCGGAUUUAUUGGGCGUAAAGGGAACGCAGGCGGUCUUUUAAGUCUGAUGUGAAAGCCUUCGGCUUAACCGGAGUAGUGCAUUGGAAACUGGAAGACUUGAGUGCAGAAGAGGAGAGUGGAACUCCAUGUGUAGCGGUGAAAUGCGUAGAUAUAUGGAAGAACACCAGUGGCGAAAGCGGCUCUCUGGUCUGUAACUGACGCUGAGGUUCAAAAGCGUGGGUAGCAAACAGGAUUAGAUACCCUGGUAGUCCACGCCGUAAACGAUGAAUGCUAGGUGUUGGAGGGUUUCCGCCCUUCAGUGCCGCAGCUAACGCAAUAAGCAUUCCGCCUGGGGAGUACGACCGCAAGGUUGAAACUCAAAGGAAUUGACGGGGGCCCGCACAAGCGGUGGAGCAUGUGGUUUAAUGCGAAGCAACGCGAAGAAUCUUACCAGGUCUUGACAUCCUUUGACCACCUAAGAGAUUAGGCUUUCC